UACGUAGGGUGCGAGCGUUGUCCGGAAUUACUGGGCGUAAAGAGCUCGUAGGUGGCUUUUUAAGUCCGCCGUCAAAUCCCAGGGCUCAACUCUGGACAGGCGGUGGAAACUACCAAGCUUGAGUACGGUAGGGGCAGAGGGAAUUCCGGUGGAGCGGUGAAAUGCGUAGAGAUCGGAAAGAACACCAACGGCGAAAGCACUCUGCUGGGCCGACACUGACACUGAGAGACGAAAGCUAGGGGAGCGAAUGGG
rnacentral:rRNA from 1 species